AGAGUUUGAUCAUGGCUCAGAUUGAACGCUGGCGGCAGGCCUAACACAUGCAAGUCGAACGGUAACAGGAAGCAGCUUGCUGCUUCGCUGACGAGUGGCGGACGGGUGAGUAAUGUCUGGGAAACUGCCUGAUGGAGGGGGAUAACUACUGGAAACGGUGGCUAAUACCGCAUAACGUCGCAAGACCAAAGAGGGGGACCUUCGGGCCUCUUGCCAUCAGAUGUGCCCAGAUGGGAUUAGCUUGUUGGUGAGGUAACGGCUCACCAAGGCGACGAUCCCUAGCUGGUCUGAGAGGAUGACCAGCCACACUGGAACUGAGACACGGUCCAGACUCCUACGGGAGGCAGCAGUGGGGAAUAUUGCACAAUGGGCGCAAGCCUGAUGCAGCCAUGCCGCGUGUAUGAAGAAGGCCUUCGGGUUGUAAAGUACUUUCAGCGGGGAGGAAGGUGUUGUGGUUAAUAACCGCAGCAAUUGACGUUACCCGCAGAAGAAGCACCGGCUAACUCCGUGCCAGCAGCCGCGGUAAUACGGAGGGUGCAAGCGUUAAUCGGAAUUACUGGGCGUAAAGCGCACGCAGGCGGUCUGUCAAGUCGGAUGUGAAAUCCCCGGGCUCAACCUGGGAACUGCAUUCGAAACUGGCAGGCUUGAGUCUUGUAGAGGGGGGUAGAAUUCCAGGUGUAGCGGUGAAAUGCGUAGAGAUCUGGAGGAAUACCGGUGGCGAAGGCGGCCCCCUGGACAAAGACUGACGCUCAGGUGCGAAAGCGUGGGGAGCAAACAGGAUUAGAUACCCUGGUAGUCCACGCCGUAAACGAUGUCUACUUGGAGGUUGUGCCCUUGAGGCGUGGCUUCCGGAGCUAACGCGUUAAGUAGACCGCCUGGGGAGUACGGCCGCAAGGUUAAAACUCAAAUGAAUUGACGGGGGCCCGCACAAGCGGUGGAGCAUGUGGUUUAAUUCGAUGCAACGCGAAGAACCUUACCUGGUCUUGACAUCCACAGAAGAAUCCAGAGAUGGAUUUGUGCCUUCGGGAACUGUGAGACAGGUGCUGCAUGGCUGUCGUCAGCUCGUGUUGUGAAAUGUUGGGUUAAGUCCCGCAACGAGCGCAACCCUUAUCCUUUGUUGCCAGCGGUCCGGCCGGGAACUCAAAGGAGACUGCCAGUGAUAAACUGGAGGAAGGUGGGGAUGACGUCAAGUCAUCAUGGCCCUUACGACCAGGGCUACACACGUGCUACAAUGGCGCAUACAAAGAGAAGCGACCUCGCGAGAGCAAGCGGACCUCAUAAAGUGCGUCGUAGUCCGGAUUGGAGUCUGCAACUCGACUCCAUGAAGUCGGAAUCGCUAGUAAUCGUGGAUCAGAAUGCCACGGUGAAUACGUUCCCGGGCCUUGUACACACCGCCCGUCACACCAUGGGAGUGGGUUGCAAAAGAAGUAGGUAGCUUAACCUUCGGGAGGGCGCUUACUACUUUGUGAUUCAUGACUGGGGUGAAGUCGUAACAAGGUAACCGUAGGGGAACCUGCGGUUG
rnacentral:rRNA from 1 species